UACAGAGGGGGCAAGCGUUAUUCGGAAUUAUUGGGCGUAAAGGGCGCGUAGGCGGCCAUUCAAGUGACGGGUGAAAGCCCUCGGCUUAACCGAGGAACUGCCUGUCAGACUGGAUGGCUUGAGACCGGGAGAGGUGAGUGGAAUUCCCAGUGUAGCGGUGAAAUGCGUAGAUAUUGGGAGGAACACCAGUGGCGAAGGCGGAUCUCUGGGCCAUUACUGACGCUGAGGAGCGAAAGCGUGGGGAGCGAACAGG
rnacentral:rRNA from 1 species